AGGCGCGUAGCUCAGUUGGUUAGAGCACUUGCUCGACACGCAAGGGGUCAGGAGUUCAAGUCUCCUCGUGCCUA
rfam:Desulfovibrionaceae bacterium CG1_02_65_16 cg1_0.2_scaffold_1591_c, whole genome shotgun sequence.